rnacentral:rRNA from 1 species
AUGCCCCCAACAACUUCUCAGGUGGCAGCGAUAUGGGUUGAAGGGAGCGACCCACAAAAUUGUUUUGGCAGGAGUGUUGUCGGUCUUGUUGGCACCAUCAUAGCCGGCGAGUCACGCGGUGAUCGAAUUGGCAAGAGAAUCGUGCUUCCACGUACGUUUGCUGGUGGUGAUCGUGACAUGCAGCGGAGGUUGCUUGAUGCGAUGGCAAUAGUCCAACGGUGGGGUAAACCAGAUUAUUUUAUCACAAUGACUUGCAAUCCGUAUUGGGAGGAGAUAACCCAAAAUCUGAUGCCUGGACAACUGCCACAAGACCAUCCCGACCUUGUGGCAAGAGUAUAG